rnacentral:tRNA from 1 species
UGGGGUUGUGGCUCAGUGGUAGAGCACUUGCCUAGUGUGCAUGAGGCACUGGGUUUGAUCCGCAGCGCCACAA